rnacentral:rRNA from 1 species
AGAGUUUGAUCAUGGCUCAGGACGAACGCUGGCGGCGUGCCUAACACAUGCAAGUCGAGCGGAGAUUGACUUCAACACAUAGUAUUUCAGCAAGCCGGCGCAUAUGCAAAAACAACAGCUUAAAAAAUGCUUUCAUUAAAAGUUUUUGCAUUACGCGUCCUUGUGUGCCAACACAGGCAUCAAGAGAUGGCGGGUUGGAGUAUUGCGUGUUGAAGUCAAUCUCAGCGGCGGACGGGUGAGUAACGCGUGAGCAAUCUGCCUCAUACAGGGGGAUAACAGUCGGAAACGACUGCUAAUACCGCAUAAGACCACAGUACCGCAUGGUACAGGGGUCAAAGGAGUAACAUCCGGUAUGAGAUGAGCUCGCGUCCCAUUAGCUAGUUGGUAAGGUAACGGCCCACCAAGGCGACGAUGGGUAGCCGACCUGAGAGGGUGACCGGCCACACUGGGACUGAGACACGGCCCAGACUCCUACGGGAGGCAGCAGUGGGGAAUAUUGCGCAAUGGGGGGAACCCUGACGCAGCAACGCCGCGUGAGUGAAGAAGGUCUUCGGAUCGUAAAACUCUGUCAUAGGGGAAGAAGUGCGUGACGGUACCCUAUGAGGAAGCCCCGGCUAACUACGUGCCAGCAGCCGCGGUAAUACGUAGGGGGCGAGCGUUGUCCGGAAUUACUGGGCGUAAAGGGUGCGUAGGCGGCCGAUUAAGUCAGAUGUGAAAUACCACGGCUCAACCGUGGGGGUGCAUAUGAAACUGGUUGGCUUGAGUGCAGGAGAGGAAAGUGGAAUUCCUAGUGUAGCGGUGAAAUGCGUAGAGAUUAGGAGGACACCAGUGGCGAAGCGACUUUCUGGACUGUAACUGACGCUGAGGCACGAAAGCGGUGGGGAGCAAACAGAUAGAUACCUGCUAGUCACGCGUAACGAUGAUACUAAGUGUAAGGGGUAUCGACCCCCCUGUGCGAGUACGCAUUAGUAUCCGGCUGGGAGUACCGCGCAGGUUGAAACUCAAAUGAAUUGACGG